rnacentral:rRNA from 1 species
AACGAACGCUGGCGGCAUGGAUUAGGCAUGCAAGUCGAACGAAGUAGCAAUACUUAGUGGCGGAAGGGUGAGGAACGCGUGAGUAACUUGCCUCCAAGUUGGGAGUAACAGUUGGAAACGGCUGCUAAUACCUGAUGUGGUUAUCUUUUCGCAUGAGAGGGUAACUAAAGAUUUAUCGCUUGGAGAUAGGCUCGCGUCCCAUUAGCUAGUUGGUGAGGUAACGGCUCACCAAGGCGACGAUGGGUAGCUGGUCUGAGAGGAUGGUCAGCCACACUGGGACUGAGACACUGCCCAGACUCCUACGGGAGGCUGCAGUCGAGAAUCUUGGGCAAUGCGCGAAAGCGUGACCCAGCAAUGCCGCGUGCAGGAUGAAGGUUUUCGGAUUGUAAACCUCUGUUUUUAGUGAAGAAACAAAUGACGGUAGCUAAAGAGGAAGCCACGGCUAACUACGUG